AUCGGCUCCCGCAGAAGCACAAGCACGCACCACUCUGAUGACUGUCCUAGGGAUCUAGAACCACUUGCAGAUGCAAUCGCCAUGAAUGAAAGAACUAGAUCUAAGUGCUAUCGUGAGCGGAUGUGAACCACACCCAACACUUUCACUCUCACAUAUUGUCAGUACGCAAGGGUAAUCAACUAUUGGAUAAUAAGAACACAGCAUGAUGAUCGUUCUAGGUAAGCAAUAAAGCAACCCGAAGUAGCGCUGGUCAGCCAUUAUGUGAAAGAGCAUCAUCAAGAUAUGAUUGAUAAAAAAUAAAUCUUAAACACAAGGUUCAGCAAUUACAAAUCAAGACCUCCAUACAACCCCGAGGACAAAUAAACACUUUACCCCAC
rnacentral:lncRNA from 1 species